AUGAACGCUGGCGGCGUGCUUAACACAUGCAAGUCGCACGAAGCACUUUAUUUGAUUUCCUUCGGGACUGAUUAUUUUGUGACUGAGUGGCGGACGGGUGAGUAACGCGUGGGUAACCUGCCUUGUACAGGGGGAUAACAGUUGGAAACGGCUGCUAAUACCGCAUAAGCGCACAGCAUCGCAUGAUGCAGUGUGAAAAACUCCGGUGGUAUAAGAUGGACCCGCGUUGGAUUAGCUAGUUGGUGAGGUAACGGCCCACCAAGGCGACGAUCCAUAGCCGACCUGAGAGGGUGACCGGCCACAUUGGGACUGAGACACGGCCCAAACUCCUACGGGAGGCAGCAGUGGGGAAUAUUGCACAAUGGGCGAAAGCCUGAUGCAGCGACGCCGCGUGAGCGAAGAAGUAUUUCGGUAUGUAAAGCUCUAUCAGCAGGGAAGAUAAUGACGGUACCUGACUAAGAAGCACCGGCUAAAUACGUG
rnacentral:rRNA from 1 species